AGGUUACUGUAUAAUACCCAAGUAAUAAAUGCCCUAGCCUGUUCCCUCGCUAAAGGUUAACCUGGGUAUCCAUUAGAAGUUCCUCCAAGGCCUGGGAUGUUAAAUUUUAACCUUUAGCGAGGGAACAGGCUAGGGCAUUAAUUACUUGGGUAUUAUACAGUGCUAAGCCU